GUUCCAGAUGGGCCAUCGCCACCAUCAGUAGGAGCUUGAAUUGGUCUGCUGGGUAAUGGACAGCACAGGGGUAACUGCCAUUGUCAUCCCAGUCAGCUUCCAGAUUUGGGAGUGGGGCCAUCUGAAAUAACUCACUUGUAGCCAAUCUGUCAAUCAUCUGCAGACACAUGAGCAAGCCAGGUCAGAUCAGCUGAACUUAGUCUAGACCAGAGUAACAGCAGAAUUACGAUCUAAAUAAAU
rnacentral:lncRNA from 1 species